rnacentral:rRNA from 1 species
UACGGAGGGUCCAAGCGUUAUCCGGAAUCAUUGGGUUUAAAGGGUCCGUAGGCGGUUUUGUAAGUCAGUGGUGAAAGCCCAUCGCUCAACGGUGGAACGGCCAUUGAUACUGCAAGACUUGAAUUAUUGUGAAGUAACUAGAAUAUGUAGUGUAGCGGUGAAAUGCUUAGAGAUUACAUGGAAUACCAAUUGCGAAGGCAGGUUACUACUAAUGGAUUGACGCUGAUGGACGAAAGCGUGGGGAGCGAACAGG